rnacentral:rRNA from 1 species
AGAGUUUGAUCCUGGCUCAGAACGAACGCUGGCGGCAGGCCUAACACAUGCAAGUCGAGCGAGACCUUCGGGUCUAGCGGCGGACGGGUUAGUAACGCGUGGGAACGUGCCCUUCUCUGCGGAAUAGCCACUGGAAACGGUGAGUAAUACCGCAUACGCCCUUCGGGGGAAAGAUUUAUCGGAGAAGGAUCGGCCCGCGUUAGAUUAGAUAGUUGGUGGGGUAAUGGCCUACCAAGUCUACGAUCUAUAGCUGGUUUUAGAGGAUGAUCAGCAACACUGGGACUGAGACACGGCCCAGACUCCUACGGGAGGCAGCAGUGGGGAAUCUUAGACAAUGGGCGCAAGCCUGAUCUAGCCAUGCCGCGUGUGUGAUGAAGGUCUUAGGAUCGUAAAGCACUUUCGCCAGGGAUGAUAAUGACAGUACCUGGUAAAGAAACCCCGGCUAACUCCGUGCCAGCAGCCGCGGUAAUACGGAGGGGGUUAGCGUUGUUCGGAAUUACUGGGCGUAAAGCGUACGUAGGCGGAUCAGAAAGUUGGGGGUGAAAUCCCGGGGCUCAACCCCGGAACUGCCUCCAAAACUCCUGGUCUUGAGUUCGAGAGAGGUGAGUGGAAUUCCAAGUGUAGAGGUGAAAUUCGUAGAUAUUUGGAGGAACACCAGUGGCGAAGGCGGCUCACUGGCUCGAUACUGACGCUGAGGUACGAAAGUGUGGGGAGCAAACAGGAUUAGAUACCCUGGUAGUCCACGCCGUAAACGAUGUCGACCAGCCGUUGGGUGCCUAGAGCACUUUGUGGCGAAGUUAACGCGAUAAGUCGACCGCCUGGGGAGUACGGCCGCAAGGUUAAAACUCAAAUGAAUUGACGGGGGCCCGCACAAGCGGUGGAGCAUGUGGUUUAAUUCGAUGCAACGCGAAGAACCUUACCUACCCUUGACAUCUACAGAAGCCGGAAGAGAUUCGGGUGUGCCUUCGGGAACUGUAGACAGGUGCUGCAUGGCCUGUCGUCAGCUCGUGUUGUGAAUUGUUGGUUAAGUCCCGUUACGAGCGCAACCCUUGUCCUUAUUUGCCAGCACCGUAAUGGUGGGGAACUUCUUAGGGAGA